UCUGGAAACUNUCUGACUUGAGUGCAGAAGGGGAGAGUGGAAUUCCAUGUGUAGCGGUGAAAUGCGUAGAUAUAUGGAGGAACACCNGUGGCGAAAGCGGCUCUCUGNUCUGUCACUGACGCUGAGGCUCGAAAGCGUGGGUAGCGAACAGGAUUAGAUACCCUGGUAGUNCACGCCGUAAACGAUGAGUGCUAGGUGUUAGGCCCUUUCCGGGGCUUAGUGCCGGAGCUAACGCAAUAAGCACUCCGCCUGGGGAGUACGACCGCAAGGUUGAAACUCAAAGGAAUUGACGGGGGCCCGCACAAGCGGUGGAGCAUGUGGUUUAAUUCGAAGCAACGCGAAGAACCUCACCAGGUCUUGACAUCCCGAUGCUAUUCUUAGAGAUAGGAAGUUACUUCGGUACAUCGGAGACAGGUGGUGCAUGGUUGUCGUCAGCUCGUGUCGUGAGAUGUUGGGUUAAGUCCCGCAACGAGCGCAACCCUUAUUGUUAGUUGCCAUCAUUAAGUUGGGCACUCUAGCAAGACUGCCGGUAAUAAACCGGAGGAAGGUGGGGAUGACGUCAAAUCAUCAUGCCCCUUAUGACCUGGGCUACACACGUGCUACAAUGGUUGGUACAACGAGUUGCGAGUCGGUGACGGCGAGCUAAUCUCUUAAAGCCAAUCUCAGUUCGGAUUGUAGGCUGCAACUCGCCUACAUGAAGUCGGAAUCGCUAGUAAUCGCGGAUCAGCACGCCGCGGUGAAUACGUUCCCGGGCCUUGUACACACCGCCCGUCACACCACGAGAGUUUGUAACACCCGAAGUCGGUGAGGUAACCUUANGGAGCCAG
rnacentral:rRNA from 1 species